UGCAAGUCGANCGGGAAUCUUCGGAUUCUAGUGGCGGACGGGUGAGUAACGCGUAAGAAUCUAACUUCAGGACGGGGUCAACAGUUGGAAACGACUGCUAAUACCCGAUGUGCCGAAAGGUGAAACCUAAUUGGCCUGGAGAAGAGCUUGCGUCUGAUUAGCUAGUUGGUGGGGUAAAGGCCUACCAAGGCGACGAUCAGUAACUGGUCUGAGAGGAUGAGCAGCCACACUGGGACUGAGACACGGCCCAGACUCCUACGGGAGGCAGCAGUGGGGAAUUUUCCGCAAUGGGCGAGAGCCUGACGGAGCAACGCCGCGUGAGGGAGGAAGGUCUUUGGAUUGUAAACCUCUUUUCUCAAGGAAGAAGUUCUGACGGUACUUGAGGAAUCAGCCUCGGCUAACUCCGUGCCAGCAGCCGCGGUAAUACGGGGGAGGCAAGCGUUAUCCGGAAUUAUUGGGCGUAAAGCGUCCGCAGGUGGUCAGCCAAGUCUGCCGUCAAAUCAGGUUGCUUAACGACCUAAAGGCGGUGGAAACUGGCAGACUAGAGAGCAGUAGGGGUAGCAGGAAUUCCCAGUGUAGCGGUGAAGUGCGUAGAGAUUGGGAAGAACAUCGGUGGCGAAAGCGUGCUACUGGGCUGUAUCUGACACUCAGGGACGAAAGCUAGGGGAGCGAAAGGGAUUAGAUACCCCUGUAGUCCUAGCCGUAAACGAUGGAUACUAGGCGUGGCUUGUAUCGACCCGAGCCGUGCCGAAGCUAACGCGUUAAGUAUCCCGCCUGGGGAGUACGCACGCAAGUGUGAAACUCAAAGGAAUUGACGGGGGCCCGCACAAGCGGNGGAGUAUGUGGNUUAAUUCGAUGCAACGCGAAGAA
rnacentral:rRNA from 1 species